rnacentral:rRNA from 1 species
GACAGAGGCCCCAAGCGUUUAGGCGGAAUCACUGGGCUUAAAGCGUGUGUAGGCGGACGCCUAAGUGUCUUGUGAAAUCCCACGGCUCACCCGUGGAACUGCUGGGCAUACUGGGCGUCUUGGGCCAACUAGGGGCAGCCGGAACAAGCGGUGGAGCGGUGAAAUGCGUAGAUAUCGCUUGGAACGCCGAAGGUGAAAACAGGCUGCUGGGGUUGCGCCGACGCUGAGACACGAAAGCCAGGGGAGCAAACGGG